CAGAUGAACAUGCAGUGGCAUAAGGAUGAUGCACUUCUGAAAGGAGACAAUGGAGGGAGAAUGAAGAUAUGUCUGAUAGCCUCCAAGCUUGAGGACAAGCAAAGCCAAUUCUUUCAGUGGCCUCAGAUUGAAAAGCCUGUUUAUGAGAAACCCAACAGGAUCACGGCUCCAGCUUACACCCUGCAGCCGCUCAAACAAAGGCCUG